UACGUAGGUGGCGAGCGUUGUCCGGAUUUACUGGGCGUAAAGGAUGCGUAGGCGGAUAUUUUAAGUGAGAUGUGAAAAUACCCGAGCUUAACUUGGGUGCUGCAUUUCAAACUGGAUAUCUAGAGUGUGGGAGAGGAGAAUGGAAUUCCUAGUGUAGCGGUGAAAUGCGUAGAGAUUAGGAAGAACACCAGUGGCGAAGGCGAUUCUCUGGACCAUAACUGACGCUGAGGCAUGAAAGCGUGGGUAGCAAACAGG
rnacentral:rRNA from 1 species